AAAUUUCUGUUAUUGUUGAGGAACCUCAUUUGCUUAGUUAACUUCCCUGUGUUCAUGAGAAAUCGAAAGGACUGGUUUCACUAGUUGACAAUUUGAUUUGAAAAUAAGUAUCAAUGGAUAAUGGAACUAAGUAAAAACUUCAGUGAGAUGGCAUCUCCUUAGGGACCUUAUCUUUGUUCACUGGUCUUCAUCGAGCUUGUCUCCUUUGAGAUUAGUUCCUUUAAUGAUGACAAUAGAAUUGACCAUCCAGAUGUUUUCAAGGACCUGUAGAUGAUGUUGAUAGAAUCUUAAUAAUUUAUGUGUGGUCAGGAGAUGCACCUAGCUUAGCUAUGACUCCAAAUCAGGAGGGCUUGAGAUUCUUCUCUUGUCAAGUUAUCCAGUCGGGGAUUUCAUUUGGUGGUAUUAACUCUAGGCCUUUAGUUCAUGUUUAGACAAAAGGACAGGGUGUGUAUUGAGUUGAUGUGGGUUCCAGUCAACGAAUCCUUUCACUAAAAUUAUGCACAAGUUGUAGCUGUUUAUAUUUGCACUUCUUCCAUCAUGGGUCAUCGCCGUUAGUUAAAUUGAAUUGAAUCAUACAGGUUCCUUGAAGGUUCAUAGUGCAAUUUAUUAACGUAAGUGCGUGCAGCCCGAUAUUUGCUCGUAUGCCAGUCUCCAGACUCAUGAUGCAUGGAUAAUUUAAAAUGAGAGUCAUAUCGAAAUGGAAUGAUUCAGAAAGAAAUGUGAAAUCACCAAAGCUGUUCUUUUAGCCGCAUUGGUACAUCAGAUGUUGUUUUCCAUCUACAUUGAAUCAGCUACUUGUCGUUUUGUUACCUCAUAGCACUUAGACUUGUAUUAAGCAUCAUGUAC
rnacentral:lncRNA from 1 species